GGGAGUAAUGUGAUCUUAAAGCGUCUUCAUCUUCCUGAUUGAUCAGACAGACAUAUUGAGGCAGCUCUCUGACAGUUUGAUGAUUUUCUGCAUCAGGAUCAAACUCAGAAUGAAUAUCCACCAGGUUCUGUUCUUCUGCUUCUUAUCAGAAGCAACGUUGGGGGUAAACACUCAAUCAAACCAUACAGUAACUGAGGGAGAAAGUGUCACAGUUGGAUGCAGUGGUACAGUCUAUGGAAGCAGGAAGUUCUUCUGUAAGGAUGAAUGUAAAGAAGUAGAAGACAUCCUGGUUGAAACAGAAGGGAACAGAGCUCAGAGUGGCAGAUACAGCAUUAAAUAUACAAAAGGAUCUGCAAUUGAACUGGAUGUGACCAUCACACGGCUGAAGAAGUCGGACACAGGACGGUACAAGUGUGGUUACGGCAACCCUUCGUCUCCAGAUUCAUCCUACUCAUUCCCGAUCUUUGUUGUAGAUGCCGUCUCCGGUGUCCCUCUUCCAGGUUACUUCUGGCCUCUGGUUGCAUCUAUGUCUCUGAUUACGUCCGGCCUCUGGUUAUAGGUUUGCUUGUGAUUCUUUUGCUGGUUGCUGUUGCAGUGGCUCUCUACUACUGCGGAUU